rnacentral:rRNA from 1 species
UACGAGGGGUGCAAGCGUUAUUCGGAAUUAUUGGGCGUAAAGGGUGUGUAGACGGCAGACUAAGUCAACUGUUAAAUUCCUCGGCCUAACUGAGGGUAUGCGGUAGAAACUGGUAUGCUAGAGGGUGAGAGAGAGAAGUGGAAUUCUCGGAGUAGCGGUAAAAUGCGUAGAUCUCGAGAGGAACACCGAUGGCGAAGGCAGCUUCUUGGCUCACUCCUGACGUUGAGGCACGAAAGCGUGGGGAGCAAACAGG